GCUAAACGCGAAGAACCUUACCUACUCUUGACAUCCAGAGAACUUGGCAGAGAUGCUUUGGUGCCUUCGGGAACUCUGAGACAGGUGCUGCAUGGCUGUCGUCAGCUCGUGUUGUGAAACGUUGGGUUAAGUCCCGCAACGAGCGCAACCCUUAUCCUUUGUUGCCAGCGGUUAGGCCGGGAACUCAAAGGAGACUGCCAGUGAUAAACUGGAGGAAGGUGGGGAUGACGUCAAGUCAUCAUGGCCCUUACGAGUAGGGCUACACACGUGCUACAAUGGCGCAUACAAAGAGAAGCGACCUCGCGAGAGCAAGCGGACCUCAUAAAGUGCGUCGUAGUCCGGAUUGGAGUCUGCAACUCGACUCCAUGAAGUCGGAAUCGCUAGUAAUCGUGGAUCAGAAUGCCACGGUGAAUACGUUCCCGGGUCUUGUACACACCG
rnacentral:rRNA from 1 species